GAUGAACGCUAGCGGCAGGCUUAAUACAUGCAAGUCGAGGGGCAGCAGGGGUAGCAAUACUCGCUGGCGACCGGCAAACGGGUGCGGAACACGUACGCAACCUUCCCAAAACUGAUGAAUAGCCUUCCGAAAGGGAGAUUAAUACAUCGUAAGAUAACGAGGUGGCAUCACCUUGUUAUAAUAGCUCCGGCGGUUUUGGAUGGGCGUGCGCCUGAUUAGGUAGUUGGCGGGGAACGGCCCGACCAAGCCUUCCGAUCAGUAACUGGUGUGAGAGCACGACCAGUCACACGGGC
rnacentral:rRNA from 1 species